rnacentral:rRNA from 1 species
AUCCAGACUCCUACGGGAGGCAGCAGUGAGGAAUAUUGGUCAAUGGGCGAGAGCCUGAACCAGCCAAGUCGCGUGAGGGAGUACUGCCCUAUGGGUUGUAAACCUCUUUUGUCGGGGAGCAAAAGCCGGACGUGUCCGGCUGUGAGAGUACCCGAAGAAAAAGCAUCGGCUAACUCCGUGCCAGCAGCCGCGGUAAUACGGAGGAUGCGAGCGUUAUCCGGAUUUAUUGGGUUUAAAGGGUGCGCAGGCGGAUUUUUAAGUCAGCGGUCAAAUCGUGGGGCUCAACCCCGGGGCUGCCGUUGAAACCGGAGCGCUAGAAUUCCGAUGCCGUCGGAGGAAUGUGUGGUGUAGCGGUGAAAUGCAUAGAUAUCACACAGAACACCGAUUGCGAAGGCAUCUGACGAAUCGGAGAUUGACGCUGAUGCACGAAAGCGUGGGUAUCGAACAGGAUUAGAUACCCGGGUAGU